rnacentral:misc_RNA from 1 species
AACGCACCUUGCGCCCUCUGGCUAUUCCGGGGGGCAUGCCUGUCCGAGCGUCAUUGCUGCCCUCAAGCACGGCUUGUGUGUUGGGCCCUGUCCCUCCCUUCCGGGGGACGGGUCCUGAAAGGCAGUGGCGGCAUCCGCGUCCGGUCCUCAAGCGUAUGGGGCUUUGUCACCCGCUCUGUGAGGAUCCGGCCGGGGCCUGUCUCACCCCCAAUCUUCUCUAAGGUUGACCUCGGAUCAGGUAGGGAUACCCGCUGAACUUAA